UACGUAGGGUCCGAGCGUUGUCCGGAAUUAUUGGGCGUAAAGGGCUCGUAGGCGGUUUGUCGCGUCGGGAGUGAAAACACGGGGCUUAACCCCGUGCCUGCUUCCGAUACGGGCAGACUAGAGGUAUGCAGGGGAGAACGGAAUUCCUGGUGUAGCGGUGAAAUGCGUAGAUAUCAAGAGGAACACCGGUGGCGAAGGCGGCUCUCUGGUCCAUUACUGACGCUGAGGUGCGAAAGCUAGGGGAGCAAACGGG
rnacentral:rRNA from 1 species